rnacentral:rRNA from 1 species
AAAUUGAAGAGUUUGAUCAUGGCUCAGAUUGAACGCUGGCGGCAGGCCUAACACAUGCAAGUCGAACGGUAACAGAAAGCAGCUUGCUGCUUUGCUGACGAGUGGCGGACGGGUGAGUAAUGUCUGGGAAACUGCCUGAUGGAGGGGGAUAACUACUGGAAACGGUAGCUAAUACCGCAUAAUGUCGAAAGACCAAAGAGGGGGACCUUCGGGCCU